AGUAGGACGAGAAAGAUCUCUCGC
rnacentral:siRNA from 1 species